AGGUUUUAAAUAUAAAACAAAAUGUGUUUCAAAUGUCUCCGGUUUAGGGGCUCAGAAACUCCAGAGCAGGGAGAAUGAGAGGGGAACACCAGAGCAGGGGGAAUGAGAGGGAAACACCAGAGCAGGGGGAAUGAGAGGGGGACGCCAGAGCAGGGGGAAUGAGAGGGGGACGCCAGAGCAGGGGGAA